AGAACAUUCGGACCAUCGGUCUACCAAGCAAUAUCACCCGCUCGGUGGAAGAUCUUCCUUUCGUCGU
rnacentral:pre_miRNA from 1 species